AUUGAACGCUGGCGGCAUGCCUUACACAUGCAAGUCGAACGGCAGCGCGGGGCAACCUGGCGGCGAGUGGCGAACGGGUGAGUAAUAUAUCGGAACAUACCCUAGAGUGGGGGAUAACGUAGCGAAAGUUACGCUAAUACCGCAUACGCACUAAGGUGGAAAGUGGGGGAUUCGCAAGAACCUCAUGCUCAUGGAGUGGCCGAUAUCUGAUUAGCUAGUUGGUGAGGUAAAGGCUCACCAAGGCAACGAUCAGUAGCUGGUUUGAGAGAACGACCAGCCACACUGGAACUGAGACACGGUCCAGACUCCUACGGAGGCAGCAGUGGGGAUUUUGGACAAUGGGGGUCAACCCUGAUCCAGCAAUGCCGCGUGAGUGAAGAAGGCCU
rnacentral:rRNA from 1 species